rnacentral:rRNA from 1 species
GCGACCCCAGGUCAGGCGGACACC